UACGUAGGGUGCAAGCGUUACUCGGAAUUACUGGGCGUAAAGCGUGCGCAGGCGGUUUUGUAAGUCAGAUGUGAAAUCCCCGGGCUUAACCUGGGAACUGCGUUUGAAACUACAAGGCUAGAGUGUGGCAGAGGGGGGUGGAAUUUCACGUGUAGCAGUGAAAUGCGUAGAGAUGUGGAGGAACACCGAUGGCGAAGGCAGCCCCCUGGGUUAACACUGACGCUCAGGCACGAAAGCGUGGGGAGCAAACAGG
rnacentral:rRNA from 1 species